rnacentral:rRNA from 1 species
AUUGAACGCUGGCGGCAUGCCUUACACAUGCAAGUCGAACGGCAGCGGGGACUUCGGUCCGCCGGCGAGUGGCGAACGGGUGAGUAAUGUAUCGGAACGUACCAUUCAGUGGGGGAUAACUAUCCGAAAGGAUAGCUAAUACCGCAUAUUCUGUGAGCAGGAAAGCAGGGGAUCGCAAGACCUUGCGCUGAUUGAGCGGCCGAUAUCAGAUUAGCUAGUUGGUGAGGUAACGGCUCACCAAGGCUACGAUCUGUAGCGGGUCUGAGAGGAUGAUCCGCCACACUGGGACUGAGACACGGCCCAGACUCCUACGGGAGGCAGCAGUGGGGAAUUUUGGACAAUGGGCGCAAGCCUGAUGCAGCCAUGCUGCGUGUAUGAAGAAGGCCUUCGGGUUGUAAAGUACUUUCAGCGGGGAGGAAGGGAGUAAAGUCAAUACCUUUGCUCAUUGACGUUACCCGCAGAAGAAGCACCGGCUAACUCCGUGCCAGCCGCGGCAGUAAAAC